GAUGAACGCUGGCGGCGUGCUUAAUACAUGCAAGUCGAACGAAGAGCUUUUGUAGCAAUACGGGAGCUUCUUAGUGGCGAACGGGUGCGUAACGCGUUGGUGACCUGCCCCAAAGUGUGGGAUAACAGUUCGAAAGGACUGCUAAUACCGCAUGUGAUCAUUGGUUUUAGAAUCUGAUGAUUAAAGCAGUAAUGCGCUUUGGGAGGGACCUGCGUCCCAUCAGCUAGUUGGUGAGGUAACGGCCCACCAAGGCUACGACGGGUAGGGGACCUGAGAGGGUGGUCCCCCACACUGGCACUGAAACACGGGCCAGACUCCUACGGGUGGCUG
rnacentral:rRNA from 1 species